rnacentral:rRNA from 1 species
CACGUAGGGGGGCAAGCGUUGUCCGGAUUUAUUGGGCGUAAAGAGCUCGUAGGCGGUUCGGUAAGUUGGGUGUGAAACCUCCAGGCUCAACCUGGAGACGCCACCCGAUACUGCUGUGACUAGAGUCCGGUAGGGGAGCGUGGAAUUCCUGGUGUAGCGGUGGAAUGCGCAGAUAUCAGGAGGAACACCGGUGGCGAAGGCGGGUCUCUGGGCAGUAACUGACGCUGAGGAGCGAAAGCGUGGGGAGCGAACAGG